UUUGACAUACAAGUAGUAGGAAGGAAACUGGACGACCUUCGGGAGCUUGUACAGGUGCUGCAUGGCUGUCGUCAGCUCGUGUCGUGAGAUGUUCGGUUAAGUCCGCUAACGAGCGCAACCUCGCGUAUGUUACAAGUGUCAUACGGGACUGCCGGUAAAAGCCGGAGGAAGGUGAGGAUGAUGUCAAGUCAGCAUGACCUUUAUAUCCAGGGCUACACACACGCUACAAUGGUCUGUACAAUUGGUUGCCAAGCCGCGAGGCGGAGCCAAUCCGUAAAGCAGGCCUCAGUUCAGAUUGCAGUCUGCAACUCGACUGCAUGAAGCCGGAGUUGCUAGUAACCGCAGGUCAGCAAUACUGCGGUGAAUACGUUCCCGGGUCUU
rnacentral:rRNA from 1 species